rnacentral:lncRNA from 1 species
AUGCUGCCUUUGCAGCUGGCAUCAGUCACAUCACUCAAGCUUCUUCUUGAGAAACUGGGUCAGUGGUGCAACAUUGUGUUAAGUAAACAAGGACUACGUCAGGAACAAGCAUUGCAUAAGAAUAGUAACAUCAGAGUGAUGCUUCUUAACAUGAAGAUGCUUGAGAGAAAGUGUAGGAAAAAUAUGAACCAAAGGAAGAUUUUUAGGAAGGCAGGCUGAAAUGAGACAGAUCAAGUGUCUGCCUUUCCCUCAGACUCUGAAGGAGCACAAAGGUGAGGAAUGAAAAAGGAUAUAUAAGAAAGGCUCCAAGUGUAUGAGCAUGUACUUCUAUAUAGUAUGGGCUGAUGGCGAUGGGUUGAUGAUCAGACUUGAUGAUCUUAGAAGUCUUUUCUAACCUUAAUGAUUCUAUGAUUCUUCGUGUUUGGUCAGCUUGCUAUCUAAAUGUUAACAUUAUGUUAUUGAAAUAAUAUAUUUUGGUCUAGGAAGUAGAUUAGAAAAUUGAGCUUUUAUACUUUUCCUUCUUUGAAAUUCAAGAUUGAUGCCAUUUAAGUGUUUGGAAUUGAAUUUAGUUAGCUUUGUGUGCCUUUUUUUCUUUUUCUUUUAGCUCUAGAAGAUACAGAUCCCCAAGCUUCAUAUAUAAAGCACACUCUUAAAAUUAACUAUUUGUCUCACUCAGAACGCUGUCUCACAUCAGUAUUUCAUCUCCAUCCUACUCUUCCUUGAUGCAUUCUGAAAGCUGUUUCACCUUUAAAAAAAUGAAGGCACCAACUGCAGUUUUAUAAGUUUGAGAACACUUUCCUAAACAUCCUUUGCUUCAGUGUUCCUCAUCCACUGCGUAAACCAUCAUGCCCAAAGCUAAGCAAAUGUCACUGCUGAUAUGUGACAAGUUUGUAAUCUGGCCUUGAUUGCACUGUGGAAAGAAAUGAACAAUGGGAAGUAAAUCUGAUAUUAAAUAACAGCACUUGACAAUGAAUAUUUGUUGCCAAGAAUUAGAAACCUGUGGGCCUGACUUACAGAACUGUUGCCUUAAUUAUCCCUUUUCCUGAAACAGAUUUAACUUUUUUGUGGACUGUAUAAUCUGUGUUACCAGUCCCUUAAGAUUCUGCUAAGAAAGGGAUGUCUUCUAUUCUGCUUGAGAGCACAAAAAACCCACUUUUCUGACUUAAGCAGCAUAUUGACCGUACAACAAUGAAGAAAUUGCUCCAUGACUGUGUAUACA